AUUGAACGCUGGCGGCAUGCCUAACACAUGCAAGUCGAACGGAGCGGCGGACGGGUGAGUAAAGCCUAGGAAUAUGCCUGGUAGUGGGGGAUAACGUCCGGAAACGGGCGCUAAUACCGCAUACUAUAAGAGGAGCCUAGGUCGGAUUGGCUAGUUGGUGGGGUAAAGGCCUACACAGGCGACGAUCCGUAACUGGUCUGAGAGGAUGCUCAGUCACACUGGAACUUAGACACGGUCCAGCCUCCUACGGGAGGCAGCAGUGGGGAAUAUUGGACAAUGGGCGAAAGCCUGAUCCAGCCAUGCCGCGUGUGUGAAGAAGGUCUUCGGAUUGUAAAGCACUUUAAGUUGGGAGGCGUUACCAACAGAAUAAGCACCGGCUAACUUCGUGCCAGCAGCCGCGGUAAUUC
rnacentral:rRNA from 1 species